CCUACGGGAGGCAGCAGUGGGGGAUAUUGGACAAUGGGGGAAACCCUGAUCCAGCGACGCCGCGUGAGUGAAGAAGUAUUUCGGUAUGUAAAGCUCUGUCAGCAGGGAAGAAAGAAAUGACGGUACCUGACCAAGAAGCCCCGGCUAACUACGUGCCAGCAGCCGCGGUAAUACGUAGGGGGCAAGCGUUAUCCGGAUUCACUGGGUGUAAAGGGAGCGUAGACGGCCAAGCAAGCCAGGGGUGAAAGCCCGGGGCCCAACCCCGGGACUGCCCUUGGAACUGCAUGGCUGGAGUGCGGGAGGGGCAGGCGGAAUGCCUGGUGUAGCGGUGAAAUGCGUAGAUAUCAGGAGGAACACCGGCGGCGAAGGCGGCCUGCUGGACCGCGACUGACGUUGAGGCUCGAAAGCGUGGGGAGCGAACAGGAUUAGAUACCCGUGUAGUC
rnacentral:rRNA from 1 species